CAAUCUGUCACUUGCAGAUGGACCUGCGGCGCAUUAGCUAGUUGGUGAGGUAACGGCUCACCAAGGCGACGAUGCGUAGCCGACCUGAGAGGGUGAUCGGCCACACUGGGACUGAGACACGGCCCAGACUCCUACGGGAGGCAGCAGUAGGGAAUCUUCCGCAAUGGACGAAAGUCUGACGGAGCAACGCCGCGUGAGUGAUGAAGGUUUUCGGAUCGUAAAGCUCUGUUGCCAGGGAAGAACGCUUGGGAGAGUAACUGCUCUCAAGGUGACGGUACCUGAGAAGAAAGCCCCGGCUAACUACGUGCCAGCAGCCGCGGUAAUACGUAGGGGGCAAGCGUUGUCCGGAAUUAUUGGGCGUAAAGCGCGCGCAGGCGGUCAAUUAAGUCUGGUGUUUAAGGCUGGGGCUCAACCCCAGUUCGCACUGGAAACUGGUUGACUUGAGUGCAGAAGAGGAAAGUGGA
rnacentral:rRNA from 1 species